rnacentral:rRNA from 1 species
GGAAUAUUGGACAAUGGGCGCAAGCCUGAUCCAGCCAUACCGCGUGGGUGAAGAAGGCCUUCGGGUUGUAAAGCCCUUUUGUUGGGAAAGAAAAGCAGUCGAUUAAUACUCGGUUGUUCUGACGGUACCCAAAGAAUAAGCACCGGCUAACUUCGUGCCAGCAGCCGCGGUAAUACGAAGGGUGCAAGCGUUACUCGGAAUUACUGGGCGUAAAGCGUGCGUAGGUGGUUGUUUAAGUCUGUUGUGAAAGCCCUGGGCUCAACCUGGGAAUUGCAGUGGAUACUGGGCGACUAGAGUGUGGUAGAGGGUAGUGGAAUUCCCGGUGUAGCAGUGAAAUGCGUAGAGAUCGGGAGGAACAUCCAUGGCGAAGGCAGCUACCUGGACCAACACUGACACUGAGGCACGAAAGCGUGGGGAGCAAACAGGAUUAGAUACCCUUG